UUACUUUGUAGAUAUCUAUGGGCUCCGG
rnacentral:sRNA from 1 species